rfam:Neotoma lepida isolate 417 scaffold_0, whole genome shotgun sequence.
UAGGAUAUAGCUUUGUGGUAAAGUCCUUGCUUAGCAUGCAUGACAUCCUGGGUUCAAUUCUUAGUAUCAAAG